rnacentral:lncRNA from 1 species
UCAUGAUCUUCUCAUACUGGACAAGUUUUAUCUUGGGUUUGCAUGUCUAAUCUGCAAACCCCUAAUACGAGGAGGGGUUGUCAUGAGUGCGCCCAGCUCGUAAAAGAUAAUAACAACAAACAAAACCUCCUUCACACUUUGUUGAUGAGAAAUCAAAAAACUUUGGUAGUGAUAAACAAAGGAGACUAAGGGGAUGUGAUCGUCCCCACUUUGGGAACCGUUCCUCAAAACUUGUCCAGCAUGAGAAGUAUUGGGCUAUCUACUAGCAUUCGUUGACAAAUUAUGCACCUCUC